UACAGGGGGUGCAAACGUUGCUCGGAAUCAUUGGGCGUAAAGCGCACGUAGGCGGCUUUUUAAGUCAGGGGUGAAAUCCUGGAGCUCAACUCCAGAACUGCCUUUGAUACUGAGAAGCUUGAGUCCGGGAGAGGUGAGUGGAACUGCGAGUGUAGAGGUGAAAUUCGUAGAUAUUCGCAAGAACACCAGUGGCGAAGGCGGCUCACUGGCCCGGUACUGACGCUGAGGCACGAAAGCGUGGGGAGCAAACAGG
rnacentral:rRNA from 1 species